UACGUAGGGUGCAAGCGUUAUCCGGAAUCACUGGGCGUAAAGCGUGCGUAGGUGGGAAUUUAAGUGUGAUGUUAAAUCGUGUGGCUCAACCAUAUCGAUGCAUCGCAUACUGGGUUCCUAGAGGACGGCAGAGGCAAGUGGAAUUAGCAGUGUAGCAGUGAAAUGCGUAGAUAUUGCUAGGAACACCAAUUGGCGAAGGCAGCUUGCUGGGCCACUCCUGACACUGAGGUACGAAAGCGUGGGGAGCGAACAGG
rnacentral:rRNA from 1 species